AUGAGGUUCCCUGCUCAGCUGCUGGGGCUGUUAAUGCUCUGGAUCCCUGCAUCCAGUGGGGAUAUUGUGAUGACUCAGACUCCACUCUCCCUGCCCAUCACUCUUGGAGAGCCUGUCACCAUUGCCUGCAAGUCGAGUCAGAGCCUCCUACACAGUGAUGGGUACAGCUAUUUGAACUGGUACCAGCAGAAACCAGGCCAGCCUCAACGGUUCCUGAUCUAUUGGGUUUCCAACCAGUUCUCUGGGGUCCCAGAUAGGUUCAUUGGCAGUGGGUCAGGAACAGAUUUCACUCUUAAAAUCAGCAGGGUGGAGGCUGAGGAUGUUGCAGUUUAUUACCACCAGAAAGUUAUACAAAGCCCUCCGGCAGUGGUACAGCCCUGCAUGCAAACCUCCUGCUUGAUGUGGCCCAGCUGCUCCAGUGUGUGGCCUAUGUGGUGAGCAGGCCCAUCAGAUUCUUUGAGUCUGCUUGAGAGGAAGAUGCUAGAGAACUGCGGGGAAUGGGUUGCAGCUGAGGACUCUGGACCAUGAGAGCCUUGGCUACAGCUCAGGCGUCACCCGUU